UAAAAGACUGAACACAGAGACAGUUAUUUUA
rnacentral:piRNA from 1 species